UUUCCGUAGGUGAACCUGCGGAAGGAUCAUUAUUGUAUAACCGAGGUGCGAGGGCGGUCGCUGACCCGAAAGGUCGUGCACGCCCGAGUGUGUCCUCUUGCAUAAUAAUCCAUCUCACCCUUUGUGCAUCACCGCGUGGGCACCCUUCGGGAUCAUCUCGGGGGGGGGCUCGCGUUUUCACACAAACCCCCCUUUUAAAAGUGUAGAAUGACCACAUUUAUGCAAUCAAUACAACUUUCAACAACGGAUCUCUUGGCUCUC
rnacentral:misc_RNA from 1 species